ensembl:lincRNA
GACUCUGCUGCUCCAUGAAAUUUUAGGACUUAUUGCUAUUGUUGAAUCAGGUGACUAAUUUCAGGGAUCUAAAAAGGCCUUAUGAUCCAUCAUCUUUUCCUUCAUCUGCCCACAAUCCCCCAGCAUUGGCCAACAUGGCAAACUCCCAUCUGAGUACCUUGGAACUUAAUCAGUGUGGGGCAGAGAACCUGGAACGGAUAGGCUGUCCGGGGACAGUGACAGGACGGCUGAGGGGAGAGAAAGGAGACAGGCCAGCUGUUUCCUGACGCCCUUGCUCAGUACAAGCACUGAACCUGAGAUCUCGGUAGGUUUGUAUGGAUCUGCAGAGAUCGCCCUAGGUUGGGUUGCUAUGGGAGCAGGUCUUUAACUGGAGGAGUUCUGAGAACGUUUUACCCUCUCUGGAACCAUGAGGAAAUUCUGGAGGGCAGACACGUUCUGUCUCUAGCUUAGCUCUCACUCCUUAAGGUGGGUCUGCCACCGCUGAGGUGCCCCCUUGGGUGGUCUGUGAGACUCCUGCAACAGCUCUGCACGACUUCUGGGGUCCACAGUCCAGGACAGAUGUGAAGUUUUGGCAUCAACAUAUUCUUGGGAGGCUGCGUCGUCCUAUCACAGUGAAGAAAGAAUUAUUUCGUUUGUCUUCUCCUGAGGAAGUGGAUGCCAUGUGUCACUUUGCAGAUGGAUCAAGUGCAGGAGGUGCCUGUUGGAGACGCAGAGCUCUGCAGCAGCAGGUGAGCUGAUGCUGCAACCUGCUAAACAUCGCUCCUGCGGAGCACCAGGGCCCAGAGUGCACAUGGCUCUCAGGCUCCGUGAAAAGCCUGCAGUGAGCUCAGCCACUGAAAAGUCACUACAAAGAUGGAAAGCAAAAUGAAAACCGAGUCCUCGGUACCCUAUGUUUAUCUGUCUCUAAGAGAACAUCCUUGGGUUUAUUUAUGAUUUGAGUACUUCAUAAGAAAAGUAGCAUAAAAUAGAAAAUAAUGUGUUGAUGUCCUAUAUAAGUGAAUCUACUCAAUACAAUUUAUAAAGCAUAUGGUUCUACAGAAAUGUCUUUGUACUUAGAAAUGACACUUUAGUUAACUUCUUAGCCAAUCCUUGGACAUUUGAGUAUAAAACAAAAUGGAAGUGGCUCCAGCCAGCGCCAAGAAACCCUGGGGGGUUUGCACUGUGUGCUCUGCAGGGGCCAGGUAUCCUUCAUCACAGC